ACGUAGCAGAGGGUUAUCCUGGCAGUGAAGGGGGCCAUCUGUGCAGCCCAGAUUGAAAUGUAUUGGACCAUUUUUAGGUCAUGCUUGCCCAAUGGUGAAAGUGGAUUGGGGUAAAACUGUUCAAAUUCUCAGCUAUCCACCGGACCGUUCACCACUGCAGCAAUUAAAGAGAGGGCACAUCCGUGCGUGCUCCAGUCGAGCCCAUGGAGGAAGACGGCGGCACAGCCUCACGGCAGUCGUCCGUGAAGUCUUCUUGUAGCUCGGUGUUUCACAGCGAGCACGUGUGGCUGGAGGACAACCAGUCGUCUUCCAGUGCUCCCAGCAGCAGCCCUGGAGGCAGCCGGAGCAGCAGUGGCAGCCUGUGCAGCUGGAACUCGGGCGUUACGUGCCUCCUGCACAGCUCUAUCAAAAGACAGAGCCAGGAGGCUUUUCAAACUCGCCUGGAAGAGGGGAGUGGGUGGGGGAAACGUGUGCCAUGUGCUUACAAUGAUCCUCACGGCCAGGCUCAGGCAGAGCAGGGCGGGGGCAACCAUCACAACAGACCGCAUCAGGGGAGGGCCUCUAAACAACCCCGCACGGGCAGUAAAAGUGUGAAAGAGUUGCUAGAGGAAAGGUUCAAAGCGAAACUGAAGUUCUCCCAAUUCCUGGAUGAAGUAGCCUCGAAUGUGUUGGACCCCAAUUGCCUGCAAGCAUUUGGAAAGCCGCAAUCUCCUCCCGGCGAGUUCAUCACAAACUCGGAUCAGCCUGAAGAAGAAGAAGAAGAAGAAGCGGAGAGCUGGAGGCUGCAUGACUCAAUGGCCCUGCAGCAGAAUCACAUCUCUGAGCUGGAGGUUCCCAAAGCCAAAACCGCCCCUGACUGGCCGCAGAGGAAAUACCUGGAGACGGAUAUCGAUGCCGUGUGUGGGAAUGACGGGUUGUUGGAGACAGAUGAGACCAGUCUGAUUCCACCUCCUUUACAGUUCAGUCAAGGAUUCAAGAUGACAAAUCCCUCUCCUGACUGCCGUUGCGACUUUCCAAGACCCCCCUUCAGAUCUGCCUCUCUGCCCCGGGGCAUCAACGUGCUGCCUGAGGAGGAGAUGAACAGCAUAGACGCUAUCAGGGUCAACACAGAUAGAGCACUAAGUAAUUCUGCAGGCCACAUUUAA
rnacentral:lncRNA from 1 species